rnacentral:rRNA from 1 species
GACGAACGCUGGCGGCGUGCUUAACACAUGCGAGUCGAACGGAAAGGCCCUGCUUUUGUGGGGUGCUCGAGUGGCGAACGGGUGAGUAACACGUGAGUAACCUGCCCUUGACUUUGGGAUAACUUCAGGAAACUGGGGCUAAUACCGGAUAGGAGCUCCUGCUGCAUGGUGGGGGUUGGAAAGUUUCGGCGGUUGGGGAUGGACUCGCGGCUUAUCAGCUUGUUGGUGGGGUAGUGGCUUACCAAGGCUUUGACGGGUAGCCGGCCUGAGAGGGUGACCGGCCACAUUGGGACUGAGAUACGGCCCAGACUCCUACGGGAGGCAGCAGUGGGGAAUAUUGCACAAUGGGCGGAAGCCUGAUGCAGCAACGCCGCGUGCGGGAUGACGGCCUUCGGAUUGUAAACCGCUUUCGCCUGUGACGAAGCGUGAGUGACGGUAAUGGGUAAAGAAGCACCGGCUAACUACGUG